rnacentral:lncRNA from 1 species
AUUCUCUCAAAACUCACUCAUGCGUCACUCUCUCUCUCUCUCACUCUCACUCUCUUCUCUCUCUCUCUCUAGCUAGUGAAUUCUCCAAUUUUCGGUCAUUCUUCAUCCCCAAUUCAAUUCUCCACAUACUCAAGCAAUUGAAUUUCAAUCCAACAAGGAGAUUAGCUCCAUUUUCAAUUUCACCUAUUUCAUACGAGGAUUUAGCUUGAGGUUCAAUUUCAUUUGAGCAUAAGGCCACUCACGUACACGCUUCUGGACGAGAUCUGCUUAUUCAUUUCAUUUCAUUUCAUAUGUGGGUGAUACACAUCUUAGAUUCUUAAUUGAAGAGCUUAUAUGUUGUUUUGCGCCAGAUUUGAACUCUUAUGCGGGCGAACUUUUUGUUUUUUCACUAGUUUCCGAUAAGCUGAUAUUUGCACUGCUGCUGCUUUUAAUUGAUGACCUGCUUUGUUUACUUCCGGUUUAUUGAUUUAGAUUUAAUUAAUUACAUUUUAAAGAUCUUCCAUGCUAGCUAUUUUUAUUUUGCAAUUUUUUCUUCCAAAUAGGGUCUAGUGCGUAUUAGGAUAUGUCAAUUAGGUAUAUGGCUCCCCCAAUUUGAUUGCCUAGAUCAGGUUUAUGUGAAUUUUCUUCUAACUGAUUUAUUAGACUUAGAUGUCAGGUCUCUGCUCAAAGAUAGAAGAUAUUUCAUACUAUAGGUUGUGUGAUGUUGUGAUGAGGUUUUAAUUUCAGCGUGCGUAUGUAUGUUUGAUAACAAAUACAGAGUGGCCAACAACACGAAGCUGCCUGCAACAUACCACUCUAGUAAUUAAUUUACCAGAUGCUGCUGCUGCUAAUUAUAUUCUUGUUUUAAUUUUUGUUUUAUUGUAUAAAAAAAUGAUGAGUUGGGAAUAAAACAGAGUGGCAUAAUCUCAUAAUUUGAUAGUUUAGUAGUUCACAAGAUUUUGUAAUAUUUUUAUCUAGAUUUUGCGUACAUACCAGCACGAUGGAUUGCUUCUAAAACUCUUAGUGUAUUUGCAUAAAUAAAUGCACAAUUGCUCUGUACGUAUAUGGAACCUCCACCUACUCUGUUGCUAUUUUCCUUAAAACUCUGUUUUUUUUUCUCCUUUAUAUUUGUAGCUUAAGGAUUCAAAGAUACCAAAGGUCGAAGCAUUUAAAGUUUCGGGAAAAAGCUGCAAUAAUUUCCUCUUGAGACAGGUAUGCUUCUCCAUCAUUGCUCGUACUUUAUGUGAAUAUAUAUUUGCUCGUACUUUAUGUGAUUGUAGUCUUCCAUUUGGUUGGUGAUGUUGGUAGUUCUAUCUCUAUUAUUAGGAUGCAUAGAAAUUGACAUCUAGCAAGAAAUUCUAAUCGAUUGCCUUAUUUUAAUAAUCAUUUAGAUGGCACCUAGCAAGAAAUGGAUGAAUUUUGUGAAUGCUAGACCCUUAAGGAGAUGCUAGACCCUUAAGGAGUGAUAGAGAUGUUUUGGCUAUGCUGAUACGACAUGAGGAUGUUCCUUGCAUCAAUGUUCAUAUAUAUGAGGAUCCUACUGCUGCGCCAUUAAGUUUCAAGCUGCCACAAGACAAUCCAAUGCUUGGUAUAAUUGUCUUUUGUCUUUCAUUGUGUAUUAGUUCUUGUUGGAUUUGAUUAUAUUCAUUUGGUGAUCUUAAUCUUUUAUAGGUUCGCAAGUCUCGUCAAAUCUUAGAGUAACAAAUGUUAAAAUAGUGGGUGAUCUCAAGGCAAAUAAAAAGCCAAUAACAGAUUGUUGGAUUUGAUUAUAUUCUUGUGAAAGCCAAUAGUUCUCUCAGUUCAUUGCUUUUGUCUAGUUAAUUAUUAACUUAAAUUCUCUUUUCGCAGAAUAAAUUUCUUCAUUUGCCAUCCAAGUGUAACAGAGUAACUCUUAGACAGGUUUCUUUCUUUCUUUCUAUUGCAUUUUCUCUUUAAUUAGAUCAUAUUUGUUUUGAAUUUUGGUUAACUUCUCUUUAUAUGAUAUUAGAAAACUGAGAAGCAAUUGUCUUAUACAUUCGAAUAGACUCUUAGAAAACUUAACUCUGUUUGCAGGUUUUACUUUUCUACUAUCCAUUUAUGUCGUUGAAACCUUGAUCGAAGCUUGGGAAACAGGAAAAGAAAAAACGAAGUGAUAUCUUAGCUUGAGAUAGAGAUCUUCAUUCUGCUGGCUAAUAUGUAGGCUUAAUAAAUGUUUUAUUUUCCUAAAGUAGACCCUGUGUAGUUGGAAUCUGUUUAUAUUCUUAACAAGUGAUAUCUUUCACGUUCACUUUUGUAUAUCCAACAUCUAGUUUUGUAUAUUUCAGCUAAUUGAAAGCUGCAANNNNN